GGAAUGUCAGCAGCAGCCCCAUAAAACCAACCUGGGUGCCCUUCACAUCAACAGCCUCUACAGAGCAAAUCCUGGACUUCUCCUUGCUGCUCAUGAAUGAUAACUGGAGUGGUCCCAGAGUCUCCAAUGUCAUCUACCUGGGUGACGUCCUUCACAUCGAGGCUUCUGUUGCCGUCGACAACCACGUGCCGCUACGGCUGUACUUCGACAGCUGCAUCGCGACCCUGAGUGACCACAAGGACUCUGAGCCCAGAUAAGCAGUCGUGGACAAGCUUGGCUGCCUGAUGGAUAGCAAGUCUCAAGACUCCUCCUCUUCAUUCACUAGACCUGCUCUGAACAAGCUGCGCUUUGACAUUGCUGCUUUCAAGUUCCAGGGCAAUUCCAGGAGCAUGGUGGGUCUCUGAGGAUGGCUCCUCUGCAGUGUGUGGGUGCUGUGACUCCGGCUCCUGCUCUGGGACACCCUAGUUCCUCACAGGCCCUCUUCCUCCCAGGCAGGGAAGGAGCUACAGGAUUCCUGCAGAGAUCAACCAGCCCAACUGGAGCGGAAAAUGGUUGCAGGAGAGAGCGGCUCCUCUUGAUCCAGCUGGCCAGGACCCCCAAGUGCAUGUAAAGGAGAUCACCAUUGCCCCCCUGACCGUGGUUCAUGUAGUCCGAGAUCAUGCUCAGUAAGGAAUCCCUGUACCACCCCCUGCAGCUUGUGGAAGAAGUGCAGGGUAAGUGCAGCUCUCAAUGCUACUGAGCUCUGAACCAGCUUGCUUUUAAUGGAGGGAUUAGCCUGCUUUUAUGUAUUUAUCUAAAGAGUGUAACAGUUGUUAUUUCAAAUGAAAGACUUAGUACUUGUAGUCUGCAUUGUCAUCUACUGUUCCAUUACUCCUGUAAGUAGUGUAUACACUAAGCUAUAGCUGGUUCAGCAUCAGGCCAGAGUGUGUUGACCAAUCCCAAUGUUUCUGUACAUGAGUGAGUAGAUAGUGAUGCUCUUGGAGUUGCUACUCCUGAGUCGUCAAUGGGUGUGGCUUCCCUCCCGCACUGUCCUGUUAACCCCUCUGUCUCGGACUCGGGCUCCUCCUGUGCCUGUGCUGGCAGUCUCGGCUGUGGCUCUGGCUCUCUCCUGUGCUGUCCUGUUGGCUGUGUUCCUGAAGAGGCGCUCCCAGUCUAGUGACAAACUGCUCUCUGUGUCUUCAUGAUGUGUUUGAAUAAUUAAAGCCUUGUCAAAGCUAAUGGAGUUGCUCGGUGGGUUGUGUGAUUUGGUUCCCUUUUUAAUAGGGGGUGUUUCAUAAUAUCGAUGCUUGAAGAUACAAGUCCUUUUACCCAAACUGCACAAAGUGACAUCUCUUCUAUAAUACAUGCAAUGUAUCUAUAAUUGUGGAACUAUACUCUCAAUGCCAGAUCUUUUUGAUUCCUAGAAUCUGUAACUGAAUAUUCAACUGACAUAUUAAAUUGAACAGUGACUGCAUCAAAGUGGUUUAACUUGUACACUAACCUCCUUAUUUGCAUUUCCUGAAACUUUUUUUUCUCUUCAAUGGUUACUGUAUUGCCCUGCUACUCAAACAGUACUCUGUGUUAACUAAGGGAUGCCUUGGCUUCAUUCACUCUUCAGAACUCUGAUCAUGCU